GAUGAACGCUGGCGGCGUGCCUAAUACAUGCAAGUCGAGCGAACGGACGAGAAGCUUGCUUCUCUGGUGUUAGCGGCGGACGGGUGAGUAACACGUGGAUAACCUACCUAUAAGACUGGGAUAACUUCGGGAAACCGGAGCUAAUACCGGAUGAUAUUUUGAACCGCAUGGUUCAAAAGUGAAAGACGGUCUUGCUGUCACUUAUAGAUGGAUCCGCGCUGCAUUAGCUAGUUGGUAAGGUCACGGCUUACCAAGGCAACGAUGCAUAGCCGACGUGAGAGGGUGAUAGGCGACAUGGGAGCUGGGACGCCGUCCUGACUCCUACGGGAGGCAGCAGUCGCGAAUCUUCCGCAGUGGGCGAAAGCCUGACGGAGCAACGCCGCGUGAGAGAUGAAGGUCUUCGGAUCGUAAAACUCUGUUAUGAGGUAAGAACAUAUGUGUAAGUAACUGUGCACAUCUUGACGGUACCUAAUCAGAAAGCCACGGCUAACUACGUG
rnacentral:rRNA from 1 species